UUCUUUGCUAACUUCUUGUAGCUUCAACACUUCUUAAUUCAUCUGUUUUCUUUUUUGAACAGUGCAUAUUUUCAGGUGUACUCAAUGAGCAGAGGGAAAAGUAUAGAAGCCAUUGCAUAAGGCAGUAUAGGUUGACAAUCCCUUUUCUACCUAUUUAGAAGUCCAAAGAGAUUUGAUAAAUGAAAGACUUUUCAUAACUCAUUUGGCAUCAAAACCUGACCUGAUGUGAACUCAUUUGGCAACAAAGCUUGUCCUCAACUGACUUGAGGCUAUUUUUAAUCUCCAUUGAUCCCAAUCAGUGUGAAUGUUCACACAUUUCACUGAAGCAGUAUCAAUUUGUUUCAUUACAGGGUUCUACCCCAGACCCCACUGGGUAUCUUAUGUAUGAUUUGGUGUAAUUUAUCUUAUUAUCACUCCAAGAUUCAAAAAGUCCUAAAUUACAAAACACUUCUGGACCCUGAGGGUUUUGUAUAAGUGAUUUCAGGUAUUAUACAAGCGUUCAGAGCCAGUGUGUGGUUUUCUGUGCUCCCCUUCCCCUCUGCUACAACUCCAGACAGACAGAGGCUUCACUGUCAGCCUGAAUUCUAAAGUGAAUCUGUAACUGAGUGGAACCACAGCCCACCAACAAUGCACAUACAGCGUGAGCUACACCUUCGUUAUUAUAAGCUGCUGAGAUUUGAGAGUUGUUUGUUACUGUACCAUAACUUAGCCUAUCCUUACUGGACUGAAGUCCCUGCUUAACCAUUUCCUAACUUUAUGACCUUGGGAAAUUUUCAUUUCUCUGAACUUUAGUUUCUUUAUUGGUAAAAUAAGGAUAAUGUGUAAAA